GUAUAGCCCUGACUGUAGCGGCAUCCUCCCGACGCAGGAGGGAGAUAUAGCGAAAGGCAGGAACAUAG
rfam:Flavobacterium rivuli WB 3.3-2 = DSM 21788 strain WB 3.3-2 contig11, whole genome shotgun sequence.